UUUACUGCUGAUGGUGCAUUUCUUUCUUUUAAUGAAUUGAAAUGGUUAAUGAAAUUUGUAUUGGAAAAGGAACGGAAAAACACUGGCCAGGGGAUCAAACCCGGAACCUCGCCAGUACUAGACAAGUGCUCUAAUCAUUGAUCUGAAUAACAAUAAACAUGAGAAUAUUCGAUGUACUGUGAACUGUUCUCACAUCAGAUAAACAUGGAGGGAUUCGAUGUACCCCAACUUGUUCUCACAUCAGAUAAAUAUGAGAUUUGAUUUAUUUGUACAAUCGCAUUCAUCACUUAGAAACACUUAGCGUUAGUUUCCUCCAUAGGACAACAGUCCUCUUUAUCAAAAUGUAUGCCCUCAUCCCCACUUCCUAUUGGGGCUUCGCUGUUGUAGAUUAUAUGUUCUGUUUGACUGCUGAUGGUGCAUUUAUUGUAUGAAAAAUACUGUAUUGAAAUAAUUAAUAUAGUUUGUAUUGGGACAGGAAAACAUUGACCCAGGAAUCAAACCCAUGACCCUGUCAUUGCUGGUCAAAUGCCUAAAGUACUGAAGUGUCUGAAGACCAGUAAAUUCAUAAUGCCUAAACUACUGAAGUGUCUGCAGACCAGUAAAUUUAUAAUGCCUAAACUACUGAAGUGUCUGAAGACCAGUAAAUUCGACACCUGUAUUUGUUAUUAACGUGUAAUAUGAGUAGUGUCUCCAAAGCUAGAAAACACUGGCUUUAAUUCCAAGAGGAAAAAUCAAAACUACGUUUGCGUUACUUUUGUAGCUUCGAAGCCUGUGUAUGAUAGUUCUAUCUGCUACUUUAGUUACUAAUGUACUAUGUAAUAUUAUCAUAUAUGGAACGUUCAUGUGAAAAAGACAUCCAAUCGCGUAGAUCUGUAGAUGAACACACCACACUUUACUGAUCAAGGAUGCAGGGACAAACCACACAUUGAACAUUCUCUCUUUAUUACCCUCGUCAUCAGCUAUCACCUCAUCAUACAUUGUGUUAACAGGUAUCUUCAUUACACUGCACAUAGCUAUCACAUCAUUCUAUCUUGUGUUGGCUGGGUAUUUCCCUUUAUACAUAGUUAUUUACACAAGAAUACUCUCCUAUUGGGAACACUUCUGUUUGGUAGUGAACAAGAUAUGUAUAAUUAUAGAUACUUAUUCCAAUUUUGGCCGAAGACGAUUAUACUUUACUUUAUUGAUUACUCAUUUAAAAAAUAUUAAUCAACAAACAUUAAAAUAAUCAAGGGAACAAAAAAGUCACAAACACAACAGGAAUACAUAUUCAGUAUAAGGUUAGUAUGUUUAAUACAGGAAUACACAUUCAGUAUAACGUUAGUAUGUUUAAUACAGGAAUACAUAUUCAGUAUAAGGUUAGUAUGUUUAAUACAGGAAUACACAUUCAGUAUAACGUUAGUAUGUUUAAUACAGGAAUACACAUUCAGUAUAAGGUUAGUAUGUUUAAUACAGGAAUACACAUUCAGUAUAAGGUUAGUAUGUUUAAUACAGGAAUACACAUUCAGUAUAAGGUUAGUAUGUUUAAUACAGGAAUACAUAUUCAGUAUAACGUUAGUAUGUUUAAUACAGGAAUACAUAUUCAGUAUAAGGUUAGUAUGUUUAAUACAGGAAUACACUUCAGACCAUGGUAUCAUACCUAGAAAAUCAGAACAUGUAUGUUUCGUCCGGAAAACCAUCUCAAACCAUGUCAUCAUAUCUAGGAAAUUAGAAAAUGUAUGUUUAAUCCAGGAAACCAUAUCAAACCAUGUCACCAUAUCUAGGAAAUUAGAAAAUGUAUGUUUCAUCCAGGAAACCAUAUCAAACCAUGUCACCAUAUGAAAUCAAAUCCAGGAAACGAUCUCGAACCAUGGUACCCUAUUUUGGAAAGGAGAGGAAAAAAUUAUUUUUGAUUCAGGACCAAAGCUUGAACCGUGGUACCAUCUUUAAGAAAUGAGAAACUGUAUGUUUGAUCCAUGAAUCGACCUUGAACCCUAUCUAGAGUAGGACAAAAGAGAAUAAAUGGCAGGAAUAGGAACCAAAAAUAGUAAAAAGUAAAGCUUAUGACUGAAUUAGGAAUCAAUCCUGCGACAUCUGCAUUACUCGUCACGUGCCUUACCUCUUAUCCAAAUAGUAUAUCGAAGGAUCUGUACAUUUUGUAUGUACACGUGAUUUGUCAAGGAAUCUGACCAUGUUGUAUGUACACGUGAUUUGUCAAGGAAUCUGGCCAUGUUGUAUGUACACGUGAUUAGCGGAGAAAGGUACACGAUAUGGAGGAUAUGCUUAAGAAUCCACUUAUUUUGGAAUGCGCGUGGUAUGUUGAGGAAUUGGGACAUGUUGGUAUGUACACGUGGUAUGUUGAAGAAUUGGGAUAUCUUGGCAUGUUGAGGAAUUAAGACAUUUCGUAUAAACACGUGAUAUGUUGUUGAAUAUAGACAUAUUGAUUUGUAUAAGUGGUAUGUUUAAGAUUCUGGUCAUGCUUUAUAUGUACACUUGAUAUAUUGAGGAACCAGGACAGAUUGUAUGCACACACGAUCUGUUGAGAAAUUUAGUUGUGAACACACAUUCUAUGUCUGGGGAUCUUGAUAUUUUGUUAUGGUUAAUGUGUAUAUUACGGAAUCUUAACACGUCUGUAUGCACACGUGAUAUGCUAAGAAAUCUGAAUAUUCUGUAUGUACACGUGGUAUGUUGUAUGUACACGUGAUAUGUUGUAUGUACACGUGGUAUGUUGUAUGUACAUGUGAUAUGUUGUAUGUACAUGUGAUAUAUUGUAUGUACAUGUGGUAUGUUGUAUUUACACGUGAUAUGUUGUAUGUACAUGUGAUAUGUUUUAUGAACACGUGAUAUGUUGUAUGUACACGUGGUAUGUUGUAUGAACACGUGAUAUGUUGUAUGUACAUGUGAUAUGUUUUAUGAACACGUGAUAUGUUGUAUGUACACGUGAUAUGUUGUAUGUACACGUGGUAUGCUGUAUGUACACGUGGUAUGUUGUAUGAACACGUGAAAUGUUGUAUGUACAUGUGAUAUGUUGUAUGUACACGUGAUAUGUUGUAUGUACACGUGGUAUGUUGUAUGUACACGUGGUAUGCUGUAUGUACACGUGAUAUGUUGUAUGUACACGUGAUAUGUUGUAUGUACACGUGGUAUGCUGUAUGUACACGUGGUAUGUUGUAUGUACACGUGAUAUGUUGUAUGUACACGUGAUAUGUUGUAUGUACAUGUGAUAUGUUGUAUGUACACGUGGUAUGUUUUAGGUACACGUGAUAUGUUGUAUGUACACGUGAUAUGUUGUAUGUACACGUGAUAUGUUAUCUUUCUGAGGAUUCUUUUUCACUGGAUAUAUUAAAAAAUCUGGUAAACUAUUAGUACUGAAAAAGUUUAUAUUUUCCAUAGAUAAUCAAUUAUUUAUGAUUAAAAAAUUGUUGUCAAGGGCAAUAACUCCUAUGCUGGAAUUUCCUCUACUGGAUGUCUAUUAUACAUUGGUUACCCUAAUAUCCACAAUUAAUCUAUACAUAUUUAGGAAUUAGCAGUUGGUUUAAAACUGUUGACAUUCAAAUUUUGUCAUUUCAACAUGGUUUUUUUUUCUAUUUUUAUUAUUAUGUUUCAUGAAAACGUGUGAUUUUCUGAUGUUGACGUAUACUUCUGUUUUUGUAUGUCUGAUAUCUUUAAAAAGGUGGCAACAUAUACAUUUUCUUUGGUUAUUAAUUGAAUUAAACUAUAUUGAGUGGAAAUUAAUAAAGUUUGUCCACUUUUAACCAUUAAUAUUGAUAAAUCACAUGAGGAUGGAGCUACCUUAAAACUGACUAUACGCAGAACAAGCUCUAACAUAUCGAAUCAGUUGAGAGAUACAAACACCAUAUGCAGUAAUGGCAUAUUGCUACAUAGAUAUGGGAAGUUGAUGAUGGAGAAGGUGAAAUCAUCCCGUUUGUCAUAAAGUUGAGUUGUCAGUUUGCGUUAAUGUCUACUUUCAAUAAAAUAUCUAAGUAUGAAGCAGAAGUGGACGACUGUGUGGUGUCUUUUAUUGAUUAAUGUUUAGGAAUCUGGUCAUGUUUGUUUACUCUGUUUUGAGAAAUUAAGACAGCUAGUAUCUACACGUGGUAUGUUGAGAUAGCUGGAUAAGUUGAAUUCAUACGUGGCGUGUUGAGGUAUGUUGACGUGUAUGUGCACAUGGUGCGUUCAAAAGUCUAAACAUGAUUUGUGUUCACGUGGUGCGUUUAAAAAUAUUUACAUGUUGUGUUUACAUGUACAUAUGUUAUGUUGAGGAAUCUUAAUAUUUCGGUGUGUAGAUGUGGUAUGCUGUAGAAUGUAGACAUGCUGUGUGUACAGGUGGUAUGCUGAAGAAUAUAGACAUGAUGUGUGUACACGUGGUAUACUGAAGAAUAUAGACAUGAUGUGUGUACACGUAGUAUGCUGAGGAAUGUAGACAUGAUGUGUGUACACGUGGUAUGCUGAGGAAUGUAGACAUGCUGUGUGUAUAGGUGGUAUGCUGAAGAAUGUAGACAUGCUGUGUACACGUAGUAUGCUGAAGAAUGUAGACAUGCUGUGUGUACACGUGGUAUGAAGAAUGUAGACAUGCUGUGUGUACACGUGGUAUACUGAAUGUAGACAUGCUGUGUGUACACGUGGUAUACUGAAUGUAGACAUGCUAUGUGUACACGUAGUAUGCUGAAGAAUGUAGAUAUGCUGUGUGUACACGUAGUAUACUGAAGAAUGUAGACAUGCUGUGUACACGUGGUACGUUAAGAAACUCCGACACAUUGUAUAUACAUGUACGUGGUACGUUAAGAAACUCCGACAUAUUGUAUAUACAUGUACAUGGUAUUUUGCAGAAUAAUGAUAUAGUGGCAUGCAUCCUUGGUAAUUAGAAAUGUUUGUAUUUGUUUGUAUAUACACAUAGUAUGUUAGAAAUUUAAAUAGAAUAUAUAUAUACACGUGAUAUGUUCCUUCGUUAGUUGACCUGUUUCUAUAUUCAUAUGAACUAGAAUUUAUUAAAAAAAAAACUCUAAGUAAGAAGAAA